CUUCACCGAUCCCAUCAGCAGCGGCCGGUCGGCUUCACGCGAGCCACCGAAGGCGGCGGCGGCCGCCUGCACCUC
rfam:Mycobacterium farcinogenes DSM 43637 genomic scaffold, SCAFFOLD00002